UACAGGGGGUGCAAACGUUGCUCGGAAUCACUGGGCGUAAAGCGCACGUAGGCGGACUCUUAAGUCGGUGGUGAAAUCCUGGAGCUCAACUCCAGAACUGCCUUCGAUACUGAGAGUCUCGAGUCCGGGAGAGGUGAGUGGAACUGCGAGUGUAGAGGUGAAAUUCGUAGAUAUUCGCAAGAACACCAGUGGCGAAGGCGGCUCACUGGCCCGGUACUGACGCUGAGGUGCGAAAGCGUGGGGAGCAAACAGG
rnacentral:rRNA from 1 species